rnacentral:rRNA from 2 species
UACAGAGGCCUCGAGCGUUAGGCGGAAUCACUGGGCUUAAAGCGUGUGUAGGUGGAUGCCUAAGUACCUUGUGAAAUCCCACGGCUUAACCGUGGAACUGCUGGGUAUACUGGGCGUCUUGAGCCACUCAGGGGCUACCGGAACAAACGGUGGAGCGGUGAAAUGCGUAGAUAUCGUUUGGAACGCCAAUGGUGAAAACAGGUAGCUGGGGGUGUGCUGACACUGAGACACGAAAGCCAGGGGAGCAAACGGG